rnacentral:rRNA from 1 species
UACAGAGGGUGCAAGCGUUAAUCGGAAUUACUGGGCGUAAAGGGCGCGUAGGCGGUUUAUUAAGUGAGGUGUGAAAUCCCUGGGCUUAACCUAGGAACUGCAUUUUAAACUGAUAAGCUAGAGUACUGUAGAGGGUAGUGGAAUUUCCGGUGUAGCGGUGAAAUGCGUAGAGAUCGGAAGGAACACCAGUGGCGAAGGCGGCUAUCUGGACAGAUACUGACGCUGAGGCGCGAAAGCGUGGGGAGCAAACAGG